AGAACGAACGCUGGCGGCAUGCCUAACACAUGCAAGUCGAACGAGACCUUCGGGUCUAGUGGCGCACGGGUGCGUAACGCGUGGGAACCUGCCUUUAGGUUCGGAAUAACUCAGAGAAAUUUGAGCUAAUACCGGAUAAUGUCUUCGGACCAAAGAUUUAUCGCCUUUAGAUGGGCCCGCGUAGGAUUAGCUUGUUGGUGGGGUAAUGGCCUACCAAGGCGACGAUCCUUAGCUGGUCUGAGAGGAUGAUCAGCCACACUGGGACUGAGACACGGCCCAGACUCCUACGGGAGGCAGCAGUGGGGAAUAUUGGACAAUGGGCGAAAGCCUGAUCCAGCAAUGCCGCGUGAGUGAUGAAGGCCUUAGGGUUGUAAAGCUCUUUACCCGGGAUGAUAAUGACAGUACCGGAGAAUAAGCUCGGCUAACUCCGUGCCAGCAGCCG
rnacentral:rRNA from 1 species